AACUGAUACUACCUGCGGGAACCUGCGGAAGGAUCAUUAAUGAAAUCAUAUUCUCCUUUGGAGUUUCUUCUAGCUGAUGCGUCUUUUGGCUGCACGCUGUUGUCACUCUUUAGGGGUUAUAUUUCCACAAACCCUUCUGUGCAUAUUGGGAGGCUUUAUUGUCCUCUCCUAAUUCAUAUACUCUAAUGUUUAAUCAUGUCAUACAAUGUUAAAUACAUUAAACAACUUUCAGCAAUGGAU
rnacentral:misc_RNA from 1 species